GCGGUGUUCAGAGCUCACAGACACUCACAAACCAAAGGGACCAGCUUAGACACAGACUUAGCUAGAAGAGUACUUACUACUCUCUUCUUUUCCCCUUUCUACAUGCACUGGCUAUGUUGCUGGUAGCCAACAUCUGCCCUACAAAUGGACAACAGUGUCUCAGUGCAGCUUUCCUAUGUACUAUUUACUUACUCAUUCUUCCCUUGCUGCUAGGGAGUGGGAACACAUAUCCCAGGGGUCGGAGCCUGAGGCAAGUAGGAAAUAAGACUGUCCCUGUAGUCUUGAAAAGAGAAUGUUAGGGUAGAACCCCUCUGUCCUACUGUCGCCUUGCACUAGGCAACAACUGUGAUGUCUGGUUUCAGUCAAGAAUGAUUAAUGAACGAUGUGUGUUUGUCCCUAGCAGAUGCUUGUAGGGAAGGAGGAUUUGACCCUCACUGAGUGAAGGAGUUGCUGAUUUAGUCAAGUCAAGAACAGGAUGCGACGCUUUGGUCUAGUGCAUUGACAUUUGCAUCUCUGAGUGAGAAUGCUUAUUUUCAUUGGAGGAACAGCAAGACUGCCUUUUGAAACAUUUAAAGGGGAGCACGCAGAGAAAAGCAGGCGUGUGAAGAGGCUGCUUGCUGGCACAGCAGACCACAGCAUUUGCUACGGCGGUCGUAGAUCAGGCUGCUCACGGAAAGGGGCCCUUGUCUGAAGAUUCCCACUCCAGUCCCAUUGACUUUAUGGAUAGUCCUCGGGAUCUUGUCUGAGCACAUCCAAAUGUUUGUACAGCACCUGAUGCAAACAGGCCGUCGUCCUGCUUCAUUUGUCAAAUGAUAAAUAACAUAAUAAUGCUGUAAUUGGAGUCAUUCAUACAGACAGUAAUCAUCUGGUGAUUCAGUACAGCACAGACUUGUGAGGUGGAAGGCUGCGCUAAGCUUAUGCAGAGACUUCUAUCUUGCUCAUCAGUUUCUGCACGCUAAAUAUAUUCUGAAUUU
rnacentral:lncRNA from 1 species